CCUACGGGGGGCUGCAGUGGGGAAUAUUGGACAAUGGGCGAAAGCCUGAUCCAGCCAUGCCGCGUGUGUGAAGAAGGCCUUCGGGUUGUAAAGCACUUUCAGUGGGGAAGAAAGCCUUGGGGCUAAUACCCUCGAGGAAGGACAUCACCCACAGAAGAAGCACCGGCUAACUCCGUGCCAGCAGCCGCGGUAAUACGGAGGGUGCGAGCGUUAAUCGGAAUUACUGGGCGUAAAGCGCGCGUAGGCGGUCUGAUAAGCCGGUUGUGAAAGCCCCGGGCUCAACCUGGGAACGGCAUCCGGAACUGUCAGGCUAGAGUGCAGGAGAGGAGGGUAGAAUUCCCGGUGUAGCAGUGAAAUGCGUAGAGAUCGGGAGGAAUACCGGUGGCGAAGGCGGCCUUCUGGACUGACACUGACGCUGAGGUGCGAAAGCGUGGGUAGCAAACAGGAUUAGAUACCCUAGUAGUC
rnacentral:rRNA from 1 species